GUAUUUCUCGAGGCGGAAUAAUCGUAAAAUGUCAAAAACUUGUUAUCAGCUCACCUCAGAUAGGCAAUGCGGUUAAAAGCAUCAAUCGCUUCGGCUGUCUCUAUCGAUCGGCUACUUGAUGAUAAACUAUCUUCAUUUAUACGAUUGAUGGUCAAACGAGAACACUUCUCUAUUGCACACCGUGAUAGCCAUUAAACACUGCAAACGGCAACACUCGACUAACAAAACAACCUACAAUAGCACUGAUAUGGAAUCAACACCUGUUUGCGUAAAGCUAAACCGCUUUGUUUUUUGCGUUCUAGAUUAGUUUACAAUUGAUAGUGUAGUUACUAGUUGAGAUAUAUAUUGGAUUCGCACACAGUGUGUACGCGUUAUCGAAAUGCCACGGUCGAAACGUCGUAAAUAAAGCAGACACGUGCGUUCGGGUCGCGCUCGGACGCUCGACUGACGUCAGGCUCGUGCCGGGGCGGGCGCCUACCCAACGACUACGUUUCGCAUCCGCCCAACCCGCUACGCCAGAAUUACGCUACGAAUUUUAAUAUGCACGAUGAGUGUGCUAUAUCGUGACAUCGGAAAAGUGAAAAGGAAAUCGGUAGCCGGCACAACAGAGACAUGCGUACUUUUAACUCGUUGAUUUUGAUAAACAUACAAGUUUUUUUUUUGCGUCGUUGGAUAAACCAACACCCGGCCCGUGUAGUAAGUGAUUAACCGGAGCGCGUAAAGGUCACAACGCCGUCACCCACCUGGGAUUGAUAUAUCGAGGGUCGACAAUGGAAAACUCUGAACUGAAAAAUGAUAUUGCUUCGCCCUAACAUGUGCAGGUGAGCUCACGGGGCUCAAACCGGAGUGUUGCUAACACUGACCCUAGCAAGACCAGUGCUUCGCAGAAUCACUAUCGGAUCGGAAACGCGACCCACUGAGAAGAUCCGGCGAGAAACAAUUCCAGACAAUUACAUACCUUUAACAUAGUCAAUAUUUUCUGCGACAGCUCGUAGUCGAAGUUGGUGUAUUUGGAGUCGGUCAUGUCGUAGAUGAAGACCAGGCCGGCUCGCUGAGUCUCCAGCGAUUGUAAGGCCACGUCCAACUGGUACACCACACCCUGGACAAAUUAAACUAUUAGACAAAUGAAAUCCUUUAUGUUUUGUUGGGUACAAAACGAACGUUAUUUGAUGGCAAGAAAAACUGUAGAAAAUCUAUAAAGCUGUUUUAAAAUACCUAUAGUUGGCAACACACUUUUUUACUGGUGGUAGGACCUCUUCUGAGUCCGCGCGGGUAGGUACCACCACACUGCCGAACACUACACCAUGACACUAACGAAAAAUAAAUUUUAAUAUGAAAAAUUCGUAUUCUUUGAUUAUCGAACAUAACUAACUAUACAGAUAAAAUUUAUAAUACAAAUAUUAGAUAUUCAAUGUUCACAAUAGCAUCCGUUAGGAAAGAGGAAUAAUAAGGAAAUGUUCUUAAACAGAAACAUCAUACCUUUAUAUAAUUCACAUAAAAAAUAGCCCUUUAUAAUGAGUAACUGAAAGUUCUGAAAGAAUUCCAAAGGACAAUGCCCAAUAAUGGGCCAACUUUGUGUCAAAACUAUUUAUACUUGAAAAACUAUGCCUUGUUUUUUCACGUUGUUUGGUUUAUUUAUCACCCACAUUUCUUUCACCCUGACAUUGUUUUAUAAAAAAUAAAUUAUUUAUUUGAUAACAUCCGAAAACUGAGUACUUCCACCAUUCAUAGUUUUUAAAUUCGCCAAUAGGCAGACAAAAGGCUUAGCCCAUACCACCACUCAUUGUAAACAUAAAUGUUGCCAAACGAAAGAGUUCUUGUGACAUGAACAACAAAUAAUAAAAAAAAGUAAUGGUUAUAAUUCACAGACUUUUUUAGUUUAUUUUUGUUCAAUUCAAUAUUUAUAUAUUGUAAUAAUAAUUAUUACUUAAAACUAUGAAUUAUUUAAUAUUUUUAGACAAUAAUGAAUGAUUCCAUUAGUAAAAAUCUCAAUGGCCCACCAUUACUUAUUCUUAUUAUCUAUGGUCAGAGAGUUUUGGCAGCAACCCGAGUGAAGCGUCACUUGAAGUUUUAUUUUAAUAGUUUAUUGUGAUGUAUAGGUAAUAUAUAAAUUGGGUAUUGUUCUGUGUAUUAUCGUUGUUUACGAUUAUUGAGGCAUUGGAAUAAAACUGUGGCUAAAAUAGCA